rnacentral:lncRNA from 1 species
AUGAAGACGCUCUUCCAGCAAUUUGAGGGCAAGACAAACAAACAUACUGUGUGCAUUUUGUCUAGCUGUACCUUCUCGGAAAGCCUUUUCUACCUGGAAGAAUCUUAAAAUUAGUUUCAGGAUAUUGUAACAUGCAUGAUAUGAAACGAAAAAUUAUAAAGUUGAGAUCAUGUUUGCUCCUGUUUUACUUUGUCCUUUUAUUAUUUUCCGAAUGUAUAAUUUAUACUCCUAAGAUUUAUGUACAUGUGGUAACAACAGCAAGAGCGAAGGCAGAAUGCUGCUGCCUCAAUCAGCCAACACAAAUUUUCAAGGGGCUCAUAAAGCUAAAGAGAUAUAACACAUCAACCUUAUAAUCAACAAGAUCAAAUCUACAAAUAUAAAUAAUGGACAGUAACUGAUCAGUGUGCAACUUACAUCAUGGCUAUAGUCCUGAUUCACAUUAUAAAAAUAAGAAAGCAUAAAAAUCCGUAUAUUUAAGUCAUUGCUCGAUCCUUGCUCGCUCACCAUUUUUUGCUAUCCUACUGGUUCUCCUAAGUCAGAAUACAAUCUCAUUGGAUUUGGACAUUAAGAGAAUGGCCGGGAAUAAAUAAUAGCUCCUUGCCUGCUUGAAGACUCCAUGGUCACAACUUUUUGCACUUAAGUUUCCUAUCUGAUAUUGAAGGAGAAAAUGAUUAUGACGUCCCAUAAAAUUUAAGGUUAACUUACAAAUGUUUUGGUUGUUAAACUCCUUGAAAAGUUCGUCUGUUGUAUGAUAUGCAGUAUAUAAGGAAUGAGUAAAUUAGUAACUUCAAUACCAGUAUUAUAUCUCACAUUUGAUAAUAGUGCAAGUCACAAGGAUUCUGCUUAAUCCUUAGCCCAAACAGAUAUUAUUUUUGCCCCUUCACCACUAUCAUCAACUCCUUAAUGCUUGUUUUAAAGUUUGUACAAAUGCAUGAUGUAUUUCUCCAUUUUAAUUGAUGUAUUAUUCAUUUUAAGUCUUCAACUUGACAGACAAAAAAAUUACUGGCAGAGAAAGCCACCAUCUUCCACAACAAUCAAAAGAAUAAAGGUCAGGCCAGGUUACCAAAAGAACUGCCAUCAAAAUUCAAGUUUACACUUUCAGACAAAAGGAAACCAACAAGGUUAAAUGUGUUCGCUGCUUGUCCUAGAUUGCAUAUAAUUAUUCCACUUAAGAUUUGAGACAAUGUUGUGAAGCUUUGCUCCCUGAAAGGAUCAAAGUAGCCAUGUUAUAUCAUCUGUUAUAGUUCCAGCUGGCUUUUUUACAUGUCUCCUUAUUCCUCUACUCCACAUUCCUUGCACCAUUUCCUUGAUAAAACCUAGCUGAAGCCCUUAGAAAUCUAAAUCGGAAUAAAGUUGCCUAGAAAAGAUCCGUUCAAACCUACCAAUCGCAGGAAGUGAAUAAAUAAUGCUUGCCACAUCAUAGUAAAAUGGAAGGAGGUUAGCCAAAUAUAAUUUCCAUCAUACAUCAAUGGUAUUGUACAAUGAAGGGAUUUAAGCAGGGUGCAUUAUUGAGGUCAUCACUAUGGAAACACAUCCAUCAGCAUAUGUUGAUUUAAGCAUGAUCCAAGUCUAUCAACAUAACAUCGGAUCCAUUCAUGCAUAACAUUAACCAAUGAACCUCAAUCCAUACAUGUAGGUUGGCAGUAAAAGUUAAGGGUAUAAUAUGCCAAAGUUUUUGAAAACUUCGCAAUCAGUUCAAAAGAGCCACAUUUACAUCAGAAAGUUAUUCAUCAUGUAUCUGAUCACUGUGCAACUGCAUGUAGGUCAGCACACUGACCUAUUUACCAUAAGGGUUAGGUAGCCAGUAUUAUCUAAUCUAGACAACUAUAACAGCGAUGUCAUGCAUCCACAAGUCAAAAUGUGUCUUAUUUUCGGAAAUUGUGUAGCUAGUUGUCAAGCCGAUAACAGUAUAAACUAUAAAGUCUGUAAGAUGAUGCAGUGAAUGCAUAGAACAUGCUAUUGCUAUAAAAUAACAAAAAUAAUAAUUACAAAGUAGAACAGGCAUCUGUAUAUUCAAAAUCUGGUUUAAAAGCAAUUUAUCGUUAAUCUUAACAAAAAAUAACCUACAUAAUCAGUUCUUUGUCAUGAUGUUCUGCUCUUGAAAAGUCUAAGCCCUCAACACAAGUCAAGGUCUGACACCUUUCUUUGGCCACACAACACCAAGAGAUGUUGGAGGAACUUUUAUAAAUGUUUGGGCUAGAAUAUCAGGGAUUGACAAAGUGGAGAACAGGAGUUGGGGAAGAAAAAGACAUUUUAUUGAUUCUCCAAUCAGCAUAUUCAAAUCCAUGACAAAUUCUUGCUUUGCAGAGAACUCAAUGCAGUAGACUGAUGGGAGAGUCUAAAUUAGAUAUUCAAGCUGUACCCUAUUUUGCUUCAUGAAGAGGCUAGAAUAUUUUAACAGAGUAUUAUUGUAACACUACUCAUAUAAUUGUCCAACCGGCAAUAGUUUGCUGUUCACAAAGUUUCUCCAACUUACACCACUGAGAUGCCAGUACCAGUCCCAGUCCCAGUCCCAGAUGAAAAAGGUGGCAGGAUGAUGUUAAGGUGACAGUCACAAAAAAUAUGUCAAACUAUGAAAUGGAUCCAAAUUCGAUACACAGCGAACCCCUAAGAGAUGGGAUGAGAAGGUUGAUGGCUAUGACAAUGAAUAGUUUCUUCAUUCAGGCAUAUCAAAAACAGCCUCAUAACAAUAUUUUUGCCAGAUUACAUACAAAAUACAAGGUUACUGUGAUGGUAAAAGUAAAAUUUUCUGAACCUGCAAAAUAUUUAUAAGUGGGAGAAUAAUGUAACAUGUAGAGAGAAGAACAAGCUGGUGUGCUCAAGAUACCUGUUCUUUGAAUAUUACUGCUGCAGCAUCUAGAAGGAAUUCUCGUGCAAGCUCAGGACUCUUCGCAUGCUUCUGCGGACGGAUUUCAUCAUCAUUAGGUUCAUUUCCAUCCUUGUCCAUAGCAUCAUCAUCCUGCUCUAGCAAAUCAACAAAAGUUAGAUUUGAAAAAUUACACAUUUUCACAUAAAAGUCCACUGGUAAUAUUAAUGAAAAUUCUGCUAUACUAUAAGUAGCAGUCCUCAUUUGCAAGUACCUCUUCUUCCUCAACUUCUUCAGCAUGCUCAAAAAACCUUCUGAUACUUUCCCCUUUAGUUAUUGUUACAAAUCCAUCCCCUACUAUUAGCCUGCGAUGGAUGCAUGGUUGUCCCUUCAAUGCAUGUGCCUUUACACAGAGCUCAGUGCAACAGCCAUCAACCUUCCAAGCCCUCAGUGUAAUAAAGCAUGCACUCAAACUACCAAGAUCAAGUCCAUUCACCUGCACCUUUUCAUUAAUCCCAACAUCUUUGAAGUCUAAAAUGUCUGAUUUUCCUUCUCCUGUUCCAAUUGCCCAUUCAAAAUGAUGAUAUGUUCCAAUCAUGUCCACAAAUGACUUGUGCCAAUCAGCUUGGACAGUGUCCUCUGAUACCUGAAAGUGAUAUAACAAGAAGUCCAGGUCAUCUGGCGGCCCAUCGAGGAAAAGUUUUUCUUUUUGCAAUUCUCAUCAUGCUUCUGUAGAAUAAAUCAUUUAUCUCUUGAAUAACUGCCGGUUAAAUUGUUAAAGUUGAUGGAUAGGCCAGCAAAAUUUAGGCAUGCAUCUUUGACAACACUGGCAAAUGCAAACCUCAUAUUGGAAAGCUGUAUCUGCAACACAAAACCAACUAGUACAGCGGGGUUCCCUUCGCAUGCGCUUUAGUUCCUUCAACUCUUUGAAUUCACGGAUGACAUUUCUUCGGCAAUCUCUGCAAAACCUCUUGCUGUCAAACCUGUGAAAAGAAAAUUGGACUCACAGAAAUGUAACUCAUUCUAACUAUUAUGUAAGUCAUAAAAACUGAAACAAUAGACCAACCAUGCCAGCUAAGAGAAUAUUAACUGGCAGUAAGAGACUAUGAACCAUCUCAAGACUUAACAUCUAGAACCGAAUAUCUUGAUCCGAGCUUCAUCAUUGUUAGUUUUCAAAACAUCCAAUAUAAAUAAUUUUUAUCAUGAAGACAUCCAGAAUGUGCAUCUAAUGUCAAAGAAAUUGAUCCUCCUAUCUACAUUAACAAGGGAAUAAAACAAGUGAUACCGAAUUGUUCCUCCUAUCUAGACUAACAAGGGAAUAUAACCAAGUGAUACCCCAUUGAUUCUCAUAGGUAGGUCAACUUAUAAAUCUGCCAGCAUGGGUUGCAAGCCAAAAAGUUUCUGGUGUUCAUCCUAAAUUCAACAGUCCAACUUCUUCAGCAAACUCAAUAGGAUAAGUAAGAUAGAGUAAAAUAGUACGAAUGAAAGAUAAUAUGAUAAGUUGGUCAAGAAGAAAAUUAGACAGCAGCAACCAACUAUAGCGAGUCUAAUCUCUUGAUCUUGGCAAUACACUGAUACUGAAAUAAGAUAUAAUUCCUGAAGAAGAAUAUAAAGUAAUAAAGAACUUGGAUUAGCACCAACGUGAGACAACUUGAAACUGAUGCUUCAUAUACAUCUUCUACUUUUGCAUAUCUUGUAUUGUGGAUUUCAAUAAUCCAAAGUUGUAAGGAAUCAGGCUAUACAAGCAGAAACUACAUAUUGCAGCUUCUCUUAGGAAGGAAGCCAAGAAGCUUGUUCUUUCACAACUUCAAUUGACAAACUCAAGGAGACAAUAAAUUUUGAAUUAUGGAUGAACAAACUACGGCCAGUUUCUUGCUAUGUUCACUCUCGAUUAGUCUUUAAGGAGAGGUUAGUAGACAUCUUUGGAUAAAAGAAUAUGGAUGAUGAUGUAAGUUCAUGAAGGAAACACAACUACCAUCCGCAUAGCUUAGAACAUGUCAAAGUUUACCAGCUUUUCUUGACAAAGAAAUACUCCAAAUAUAAUAAAAUGAGAACCAUUUAGUGCACAAUAUAGUAAUGCAUGCUUCAACAAAUUAUUUGAACUUACGUUUCCAAUCCUCUACAUGGAAGAUCUUAGAAGGGGGGAAAACCAAUCUUAGAAUUGAUGUGAAAUUUAUGCAGUCAAGGAAUGAGGGCAAAAAAAUGUUGCAUACAGAUUCUAAAGGAUAAUGUUGAUUUAGGAGAUGUUAGGAAUUUAUAAACCCAACCAAACUCAUAAGAGAUCAUAUUGAAUUAGGAGAUUUGCUUGUGGCAGGUUCUACCAAAUUAGGCACAAAUCCACCAUUGGCUUCAAUCCAAGUUUUAUUGUAGCUACACAGGACAGUGCUUGUUAUACAGGAACCACAAUGGUACCUUCAACCAAUCACAUUUCCAGUGACUUAAAACCAUUGAGAAGUAGGAAAUGGUAUAGCUUAUCUUAUAUUAUUGCCGAUGGAAGAAGAUCUACCUAUGGGUAGCUCAUCUAUUUUCUCUUUGUACUCAAUUCAAACUUACACCUUUUGUAUUUGCCUACUUCCAGAUUUUGUUGUCAUCUAAGGAUUGGAAAUAAUUUGGUCUUUUAGUUACGACAACAGUUAUUAUCAGUGCUUGUAUAUGAUCUGAUGUAAGAUCAACUGAAGUUCCACUAACUCUGAUGAUUAAAAAAUUUGGUUUUUUAAGCAAGUAAUCAUUUUUGUGAUGUGAAAAAAUUCACACUAUCAAUCGCAUUAUGUAGCUCUGUUCAGAAAAUGACAUUGACAGAGUUGAGAAAACUACGGUACUUGGAAAACAAAAUGAUGGAAAAAAUGUUGAAAACAACAGCCAAGCUUUGAAGUUCCUAGUUAUAUGUAUCAGCACAAACAUAGCAAGUAGCAGCGAUGGACUCAAAGGGACCACGGAUCCAAACAAUUUGAUAGUAACAGGCAUGAAGGCACCGCAGCUCCUCUCGUUCAGAAUAAAUCGUCUCAAUAUCAUUGUCUUUGAAUGUCAGAGGUUCAACAAGUAAUAACCACAUAAAUUUGAUUUGAUGAGAGCAGUUUAGAAGGUAAUCUCAAAGAUGUUAUAAUUGUCUGGUCUGUACAUCAACUAUUUCAAUUUGCUGCUGCCUUCGGUUGACUUGAUUGUCAGUUCUAACAAGAAGGUUCUCUCAAAAUGACAACAGUACUUUAUUAGAAUACAUGCGCCUAUAUUCACUGUAUCCAUUUCUCAUUGCUCUGCGAACCUCAGACAGCUCAAAAAUUAUUACUACGACAAUGUGUCUGAGACAACAGUCCUGAGUUUGAAAUUAAUAAAUUGUAAACAUUUGCUAUAAACAUUCUUAAUAUAAAAUUUGCUGUGACAAUAUUCCAAAGUGCCUGUAUGCUUGCACCGUCAGUAGCCGCGCCAACCCCAAAUUCAUAGAAUGCAGUCCUUUAUGUUUGACAUUCUACGAUAAAGUUUGUGCAGCAUAGAAGACCCACAGCCCAUCUAGUAUGACAAAGAGCACUGAGGAUCAAGGAUAUCUAAGACUUAUUGUUCAACUGGCAUAGGCCCAAUUUUUGACAUGAACAAAGGGAAUUAUGUGACUGAAUAGUUGAUUUACUUCCAAACAUUCAAAGAUGUCAAGACAGAAUAUCUGAUCUAAGUGUUCUAAGGAACAAGGACAACUAAGACUUAUUGUUCAACAAUUUACAUUACGAAAUGACAUUAGACACAAGUUUUAUGAAGGGAUUUAUGUGAGUGAAUGGUUGAUUUGCUUCCAGAUAUUCAAAGAUGAGAAGAUAGAAUACAUGAUCUAAGUGAAGUUUGAGCUCCAAAAUGCAAGUGCUUCACUGACUGUUGCAGAUCACCUUAGAGAAUUAACCAAUUCAAACAAUGUUGAGUACAAACCAGCUACCAGAAUAGGGUUCUAUAAUGUGUUCGUAAAGUGAAUAAAUUUAGAAUUUUUUUAAAGCUAGAUAACUGAUGACACAUAUGGGAUUUCAACAUAAAAUGCAUGCUUUUACAUACCCGUUUGUAGUUAUAUGUAUUCCUCCCUUCCCCGUAAGAAAGUUUAAGGUGAAGAGUUAUCAGUUCAAUCCUUACAGAUGAAAUUAAUAAAUAUUCGAUGAGAACAGUAAACCCCCUCAAGCCUUCAUGGAUUUGAUGAACUUUUAAAUUAACUCUCACACAUCCUUAAAUCAGCCAAAACUUUGCAAACAUUGUCUAAACAGAGUAGCACUUCUAAAAAGGUUCAGUUCUGAUUGUCAUAAAAGAGUAGGUUAUCUCUAUUUUCUAGAGCAUAUUCUUAAUAAUUAGCCAGAUUUUUAUACUGAAUGUGUGCUCAAAAUAUAUCCUACCAAUACCUUGACAUUUAAUUCCUCGCUGCCAAUAGAAGAUUUUCAUGAGGUCCUUUUCCACUCUCAGUCCUCUGUAAAUUAUUUUAUUGAAUGGUUGAAAUUUGUUAAUUCUGCAGCAACCUGUUUUGAAUAGUAAAAGUUAUCUUUCCACCUCAUACCAUGUAGGCUUAAAUAAACAGGAAUGACAGGAUACUGGUAAUAACAUCUACUAUGAUAAACUACGAAAUUCUUCAACAGGAAUUCCUUGUUUUCUCUUUCUUUUCAAGAAAGACUAAAGAGCCUCUGCCAAUUCCUUAACUUGGACACAAAGGUUUCAAAAACAAAAGACAGUUUUGUGGAGUCCUGACUUCACUUCAUAAAAGCCUCCUCUUACAAAGACAAUUGCAAAAGCAGUGAGCAUUUACCUUGAAGCUUGCGUAGACAACCUUGAUAGAUAGCUAAAUGGAGUGCAUCUAAUGUUCCAUUGCCUUCUCCAAAGUGUUACUAGCUCGGAGAUAAGAUGCAUUCUUUCGAGGCCUUAAGUUUUGCUCUUUGGCAUUCUCCUUAUAUUUCGAGCAACUAAGAAUGGAACCUCCAGUUCUAUAUGGCAUAUUAUUAGUAAUAAAUUUUUCUCACGACCAAUUUUGAAGAAAAUGCACGUUCUUUGGUAGGAUGAGGAAACAGAUUGUAUCAACUCUCUUGAAUGCCCUUUCAUGGGUACAACAACGACGAACCAAGCCCCUUUUUCACAUUUCUUGCAAUGAAUGAAUAAAGAAUUUUUGGCAACUAACUUAUUCUUUCUGCUUAUAACAGUAGGUUCACUGUCAUUGAACACUUAUCCUUUAUGCACAUAAAAUUUCUUAAGGAAUUAAAUAACUUAAUGCAAAGAAUAUAACACAAAAUAAACUCACCUGAACGUAAGUCUAUCCAUGAAAUCCUCCUCCUUCAUCCUUAGAAGAGAUGAUCUAGUUUCGUCACCCAGCACAGACCAGAAAUCCACUAGGGUAUCACAAGAAAGUCUGGCAGUGUGCAAAGCACAGGUUUCACGAAUUCCAUGCCCUCUGCCAUAGUUAUCCAUCCCAUGACUAAUCCAUCCCCUGCCUCCCCCACCACAUGCAUUAGGGUAAAGCAGUUCACGUUCACGUUCCCUUGCUCGGGCACUGUCAAAAACCUACACAAACCAAUAUUGCCAACCCCAAUGAUCAGAUAACUAGAACAGCCAGAUUGUUAUCGAUUCCAUAAGGUGGAGACUCUCUAUCAUUUAACUAACAAUAGUCAUGAAGCAGGAUUUGGGAGCAGCUCCAGGACAAACCAUAGGCUUCAUGGGAAAAAUUAUAUAAUUUAGCAAAAUGAUAUGAAUCAAAAGGAAGGAAUGCAUGAAACAGAAGAACUAAGUAGGACAUCAGAAAUUGAGAAGGCUUAAGAAGUGCCAAAAGUAAUAUGAAAAGAAUGGAAUGCUGCAAGAUCACCAAUACAGCUUACAACAUGAAAUUAGAGAAUAGAGGUACCUCAUAUGCUUAGGUGGAAAAAAAAACAAGAGUCAGGGUAGUGUGUUAUCGCUUACAUUCUGGAGAGUCUUCAGUGACCUUGCAUUUAUAAAGCAGUCAAGAAGUGUUAGUCUACCAUCCUUGGUUGCUGCCAGGCCUCCCCAAGGAUGCAUAGACAGAUCCUGCGCUUCAUCUAAUUUGCUAUCAUUCUGAGUCUUGGAGGUCCCUAUUUUAUUAGGAAGGUGCAUACCCACACCUUCCUGCUGCAAUGACUUCCCAUACAUGACAAUCUGUGUGAACCCAUCGUGUAGCAAACCAUUGCACCUGGAACAAUAAAGGUUCUUGCGAGCUUGCUCAAAGAGGGUGUGCUUAUCUAUCCUCAGGAGCUGCUGCCGAGCCUGACGGGGUAGCUCACUCCAUAACUAAUUCAAAUGCAUAAAAAACCCAAUCAAGAUUAGUUUUCUUCCUCAUACCGCAAUCCUUUAAACAUAGAAAAUCACAAAUACAAAUUAAAUUUUUCAGUGAAGAACAUGAACGAGAACAAAUCUCUUAAAUUACAGAAUUCUCCAUUGUUUCUUAAAUAGGACAUGAAUUAUGCCAAAACCCCAUUCUUGAAGUAAGAUUGGUACAUUAUCACGUUAAAUUCUCAGGAAGCACAUUUUUAAGUAACUGAAGAUACUUUGAAAAAAACACAGCAGGAUGAUUCCAUGAGUUUGGAAUGGCUAAAAACAGGGAAAAAACUCAAAAAAGACAAUUUAAAAGUAAAGUACAGGCUAUCUCGGCAUAAGUAUUCACUUCAACAAGUGAAAAAUGUGAUUUGACCAAAAUUCCAUCCAAAGAUGCUAAGAUGCUCGAGCUGCUGACUAGAAUCGUAACAAUGAAAAAAACUAAAGAAACUACAUGGGAACAUUAGCUUGUCCUUUCCAAGAUAUUUCGGACCGUGUCAAAAAUUAAAACAAGAAAAUAGGAUAAAACAAGGUAAACCUGUUUUAAUAUCUAAAUGUACCAUCAAUCCAGCGGCAAAUCCUAUCAAUACAAGAAAGGACCGCAACCUAGAUCUACCAAAUGAAGAACUCGAAAAUCCAAUCAAGACCGCUCAUGAAACCGAUCAAGAUCCGAUAAAAACCAAGAAAGACCCAGAAACCACGAAGAAUCCAAUCAAAAGAUCGAACGAACAGUCGCUGAUCGAUCGAGGGCGACACCUUCUGGAGCUGAUCGAUGGUGAUGUCGUCCCGGUGCUUGGACCAGAUUCCGUUGGCGGACGUGGACCCGGCAGCGGCGUGCGGCGGCGGAGCAUUGCCGAAUUCUGUGUUCCUCUGCAACAGGCCUGGCAUCUUCUCUUUCUACCCUCAGCAGCGGCUCGUCGAUCCCUCCCUUCUCGAGCUGCUAUCCAUCCACUGCGGGGGAAGAUCACCGACGUCCGGUGGCGGCGGCGAUCGGAAUCGCUAUCGGCGGCCGCCGGGUUCGGAUCGGAGGAGGGACGGGUACCGGAUUGGAGUCGGCGGCGCGAGCGAUCGGAUUCGGGGGUGAACGGGGAUUGGGGGGUUGGGGCCAGAGACGACGGGAGGAGGUGGACGAAGGAGGGUGGGGGGGUUUUGUUGGUGAGAUUUUCUCUCUCGCGCGACUCUUCUAUCGUACUAAUAUAUGAAAGACCGCCACCGUGGCGGAGGGCGCUGGGUUAAAAAGCUACGGGGGUUAUAUUCAAGCGCUGCCAUUCCUCUCUUCGCAUGUACUUGAAUGUAAAUAUUAUUUCGACGAGGAGAUCUUUAUAAGUAUGACUUAUGAGCGAGACCCUUGUACCUUUUGUAGAAGGACUGAUAUGCCAUUGUAAUUUCACGAAGAGGUGUUCUUUUUUGCAAGGAAGUUCACACGCAGCAUACCCCCGGUGAGAGAGAAAAACGAAUUCAAGCGGGAUAGUUUUGGGAUUCGCAGCGAAUCGACGCCGGUGGAGAUGGCGGAGUAUGGUUUAUUCGGUGACCGCAUCGAGGGCUCUAUGAGAAGAGAGGUUUGUGCUAGCGUGCGCCGACGGUCAAGUGGACCCAGGAAUACGCUUGAUUCUACAUGCUGGGAUCGCCGAGGUCGGUGGGGGUGCACGUUAGUCACUGCUCGUGCCGUUGGGUUCUCGCAUGAGAAAAUGUCGGCUUACAUGCGAGGGACCGCAUCACGCAACGAGCGCCGGGCAGCGGUGACGUGACGUGUCAACCAGAGAUGAAAUCUUGUGCGCGGAUAUGUUUUCUAAUGUUAUGCGAGCUAUUAGAUCGACCGUUGAUGAUUCCAUGUGAGAUAUCAACCAAUGGCUGAGAUGAGCUUAGAAAACAAAUGGACGGAUGAUCUUGUCUAUCUCAUAUUAAUUUCUAUGCAACUAGUGUGACACCGUAUCUUCCCGGCAGUAACAGAUUCUAGGAGCAUGUACAAAUGCAAUGUCAAAAAGCAUACCCACUUUUCACAACACCCGAGCUCACACCCACACACUAACGACGCGCGGGGACGAUAUGCGGCGGUUUGGAAGCGUGUGCGUCAUUGGUAUUUCUGGUGUUACAUUUGGGGAAAUGUUAGUGGGGCCCACCAUAGCGGCUCCACUACGGGGUACGUGUCUGAACAAGGAUGCAGGAAGAGAAUGCCGAAGGCCAAAAGCUAAUCCGCACCAUCUCGCAAAUGAGAUAUUUUCAGGCUUUGGAUCAUCUCAGCCGUCCAAACGAUUGGAAAUUCAGGUAAAAAAAUCAUAACCGUCCAACGGAGUAGGAAAAAAAUCUUUUAUUUGACAAAGGGACCACUUUAUGUCUACGUUCCUACGUAUUCCUCUAGAUGAAGCUUAUAAUCCAAAAAAAAAAGGUGUGGUUAUAAAUUUCCCAAAAUUUCAUUUUUUUAACCCAAAACCCCUCGAAUAUUUACACCAAACUCCCUCAAAUUACAGCAUCUGACGGUCUCGUCCAGGUCUAAAUUUGGCCAUGUAGUAGGUUAUUCAUUCGGAAGACGAAAUUAAACCCUGGACUUACCUUUUCUUCUCCUUGAUUUUCCAUCAUCAUGAAUCAACAAGUUGGACAACCUAUCUGACUUCGACGUAUCUCGGACAAGUCUGGGCUUGGAUUUUAAGCUCGAUUGACUGGUUAUAAAAUAUGAGCCCGUUUGUUGAAAUAGGACGAGCUUGGGUUUAGUUCAGCCCAGCUUGAGUCUGUUUCAGAAAAGCUUUGUCUAAGUUGAAUCUUAUAUAAUAUAUAAUGCAUACUUAUGCUUUAGUAAUCUAGUUUUGGUGACUUGAAAAAGAAAUAUAUACUAAUAGUUUUUUUUCAUGCACCGACACUCUUUAUAAACAACCAUAAACACAAGUUCAAUGAGCCUUAUGAAUCCAUUUCAAAUACUUAAUCUUUAUGAAUAUUUUUUAUAUUUUUAAACUUAAAAAAUUCUAGAAAGUCCAAAGUCCAGCGCGAAAGCCCGAAGCCGGAGUAAAUAGCCAGCUCUGGCCGACUUGGGCAUGACAAGUAGGCCCAAAAGCCAGGUCAAGCUAGGUUCGGGCUUCAUUAAUUCUAAUUUUAUCUUUGGUUGAGCACGGCCUGCCUGUUGAACAAGUCUAGUUAAAAGGUUUUGAGAAUCUCAAAGUAGGCCCUAGUAUUUUCCUACAUUUCUUCUUGUGUCUAUAUUAUGUUUUAUAUUUUAGUAGUAUGUCAUAAAUUGUUAGCAUAUGAUAAUCUGUGAUAUGAUACUGCUAACUAUGUUGCGACCCAACAUCAAAUUAUGGUAGAACUGAUUCUUGGGUAACUAAUGAAAAUAGUUUAACCUUUUUUAUUCAUUUCAAAAUUUUUAUAUAUAAAUAUUCAAAUUAGAGAUAUCAUCUAUAAUUUUUAAAUAAUUCAUAGCCACUCAACUAAUAAAUAUUAUCCUCAAUAAUAUUAAAAAACUAUUAUACCAUUCAUGGUGAUAUAUUUUGAAACUAAAAAUUAUGGUAGCUAAUUUUCCAUGAUCAUGGAUAGCCAAAUUUGAUGCUUAUCACAUUUCAUAGGUGAUUAUGCUUUGUAGACACAUCCCUUUAUAUUUAUAUGAUAUGUCUGGUCCUGGUAAUACAUACUGCAACUAAUUUGAUGAUCAUGCUCACUCAAUGGGAAUAAAUUUGAGCACAUACUUUGCUAUUCAUGAUUAGGCUAGCUUGGCUAAUAAAGGCCCUUAAUCAUAUUUUGUGUAGUAUUGCUUUAUAAAUAUUUUGUGAAGUAAAGUAUUGCCAUGUAUUUUGCAUAUAACUAAUUAACUAAUUUGUGAGGUCUCGCACUGGCAAUUUUUAGGGCCCUAGUGUACAAGAAAAAUGGUAUUGAUGGCAAAAACUCAAGACUAUUUUUAACUUGCCAAGGGGGAUUCGCGGAACAUACUCAGUAUUUGGAUGUAUUGGAAAAUCAUCACAUAUCGUGAAUUUAAACUAAUUUUGACGUUGUAAUGCAGGGUGUUUGGUUAAGCAAUGGAAUCUCAAAAUGGUCCUAAAAUUACGAAACUGAACAUAUAUAUGUUGAACAUAAUUUUUUAAAUUCAUAUUUUCUCUUUUAUCUUCAAAUUUUUCCAUUUUAAAUCUCUCCCCCCUUGACAACCGCACACUUUUCAUGAAAUCUUAAUUUAAAAUUCUAAAAAAAUAACAUUUAUGAAAAAUGAUAACAGGGAUUUUUUAAAGAUUUACAGCCUUCAUAUAUAACCCAUCUCCUAGGCUAAUUUGCACCCAUGAUUAAAGGAAGAGUGUGCACAAAGCAGUGAGCAGGGUUUUGCUUGGUAAGGUGCCUUGUGAGUGAUUAAUUAAUGAAUUCUUUCAGAUGUUGACACAAGGUAUGCACAAUAGCUAGGAAAUUUCAAUUUAGAUUGCUUAUAGAUAUACCGAGGGACGUCGUUGAAUAAUUUUUUUUUUUAUUGAGAUGCAUAAAUAUUUUCUCCUAUGCGCAGGUUUUGCUCAUGAGCAACUCGAUGUCGGCAAUAAAAAUUUACUAAUCCACUCCCUAAGUCCUCCCUUACUUUCUUUUUGGUAUUGAUAUAGCUGUUUUUUCUAUGCCCAGACUCUAGUACAAGCAUACAACUAUCAAUAGAAUAACAAUACAGCAAGCAGCUCAAACCAUGCCGAAAUGGGAAUGCAUGUAUGAGGUAUACAAGUGAUACAAAAGUAUAGCUAGUUAUAAAUUCAUGUUAUUUUGCUUUUAGUCCACAUUUCGAAUGCAAGAAUGCUAAAAAAAAUCCACCCCCUAUUUUCUAUCAACAUGUGGCAUUUUUUUAAUGAUAAAUUCUUCAAUUUGUGUGUUUUCCUCUUCACCUUAUCCAUGAUACUCUUGGUGCUUCACUUCAUUUUUCAAGAAAUUAUUACAUGCAAUGUGUGCACGGCCAUACUGAUGCACGCCACUAAUCACUGAGAUAUGCGAACGUGGAUUCCAUUUAUCGCAUGCUCAUCUUAGUAAUUAACUUACCGCAAUACACCACAAUGAUUGGCGACAUGCACUAGGCACUAGUAUAGCCGUGCAUGCAGUGCACAUAAUAAUUUUCCUAAAUUUUCAAAGUAGAAUCUAUUGUAAAUCCACCGAUUAUGAUUAGUGUUAGUGUGAGGAUCCGUACAGACGUAUGUUUAGUCCCACAUCGGUUAUUCAUGGAAGAGAUCUUGAACACUUGUACAGAAUUAAGGAGCUCAAAUAAUACUUUUUGGUUAGCUAUUUUGGGUAGCUUCCUGGAUUGUUACAAAUGGUAUCAGAACAAACUUGGCCUAUAGCCUAUGUGGACUACGGAACGCUACAACAUAGAUCAAUGGAGGUUGACCACGGGUCUAUCAUGGUGCAUGUGAUUAAAUUUGAAUGAAUUUAAAUUCUUAGCUUGACAAGGAAAGUGUUUAAAUGGGGAGAAUAUGUGAAGACUCGUGUGGGCGUGUGUUUAGUCCUAUAUGGGUUAUUCACCGAGGAAAUUUUAGGUACUCAUCAAGACUAAGAAGUUGAAAUAAUACCUUCCGGCUAGCCUUUUUAAAUGAGAUCCUAUAUUGUUACAGUUAGACACAGUUACCAUAAGAUUAUCCUAGCUUACUUUUUUAAUCUAAUUUGUCAGAUUUGUAAAUUUUCCUCGGGAAGCACAUCAUAGUAAAGCUUCCAGCCAUCAAUUAGGCAUUAUGCGAGGAACUGUGGAUAGAUUCAAAGCUUGAUUUUCCAUAGAAAUUAGUCCCUGCGAUUGCUUCGCGUUAGGCUUAAUCUUUGUUAAUGAUUUAAAUCAGCACCACUAUUUAUUGCAUCAAUACAAUAACAUCUCUCUUGAAAUCUUGCCAGGUGAACUUUGUGCCGCUCCCCGUAUGCUUGUUUAAUCAUCAGAGAAGGUCGGACCCCAAUAAAUGGCGUUUAGUUGCCUACAAUAUUGCUCACCUAUCCUUAUUAUUGUAUCUUAUGAGGUUUAUUAUGCUGGAGGAUUGGAUUUUUAUGAUCCUUUGACAUUGCAUGACUUCUAAGUACUGUCAAUCAUGACAAGAAUCGAAAAUGAAACACAUUAAGGAAAGCUUGAUCUACCCAAAAAAAAUCCAUUGAAGAGGAAAACUUCCAAUAUUCAUUCUUAAGAUGAAUGGGCUAUGCUACCAUCCGAUGAUCCGACCCUAAACAUGGAAGAUUAUGAUAAGUUGCUCGACACUAAUUGGAAUAGUUGCUUGUUUAAUCUCUGAAUCAUUCUAUAAGAUUAUGAUGACACGCUCCCAAGCUAAACCAUCAGGGAAAAGGACAAUAGCGGUGUGCAUCCAUCGUGACACCAUGAUCACCUCAAAUGGUUCACGAAAGAAAUGUAAUUAUAAGAUAAAUUUUGUUAAGCUUGCAAGCUCCAAGAACAUAUGCAUACUUUGAUCUUAUAGCAGUCUCAUGUGCAUUCUUUUUAGUUGGAGUCAUGAGCUCUUGGUAAAACUCUUUUUCUAAUUGAUGCUCUAGGUUGCUUUUGUCAACAAUAUUAUAAUUUUUAUGCAAUACUUUGUCAGGAAGCAGAGGAAAUUAACUUGGAAUCUAUGGAGAACAUGAGCUCUUGAAUCCAAAACUUAUAUCCACCAAAAUUCAUCUGAGAAAUCUUUGGUGACCCAAAAGAAUUUCUGAUGGCCUAUCAAAGCAUUCUAACCUCUCUCAUGGCUCCUCCUCGCCAACAAAACCACUGCACUGGUGAAUGUGUCCUUUAACCUGGCAAUCAAGACACUAAAACAUGGAGUGUUUCUUGGAAGGUCUGCAAGUCAAGCUGGCCAAUCAUGACUUUGUCCACCACCUGCUCUCUAAACGAUUGACUAUAACUAGCGUUCCAUAUGAUAAAAGUCAAUCUACUUUGGGUAGGUUUACUAAUCCCACCUUAUAGAAAUUUGAAGAAAAGAUUGGGAUGCGUUUCUGCAUGAGGCUUCUCCUGUUGUGAAAGUAUAGCCAAAGUAAUGUCAUCUCGCUUUCACAUUUUCAGGAUUAUCUGUUGUUGGUUUUACCAAAAAUUAUUGGAUAAAACUCACAAGUGAAGGAUACAUAUGGAUGUAAAUCUAACACUACACUUUGGUGGGAAUUUAAAUCUAAAAGCAAAAUUACAUCAAAAUUUUGCAAAUAUGAGGAAUACAUGAAAGUUGGGAGCUUAGAUAGCGCCUCUUUCCACCCACAGUAGAGAUGUUUUUAUUAGACAUGGAAUAGUCCACUUGCCCUUGUGCCAUGCACCAGACCAACUUUAACACUAGUUAGAAGGUUGAUAGAAAGGCAGCACCAGCCACAAACUCAUGGAGUUCAAACCUUUCUCUUGAAGUCUUUUCAAAAAUAAAUUAUAUAUUAAAUUACCAUAUUUAAUACAAAAAGUAUACGAGAGAAAUAUUAACACUAGUUAGAAGGUUGAUAGAAAGGCAGCACCAGCCACAAACUCAUGGAGUUCUAACCUUUCUCUUGAGGCUUGUUCAAAAAUAAAUUAUAUAUUAAAUUACCAUAUUUAAUACAAAAAGUAUACGAGAGAAAUAUUAAAAUAAAUAAUGGAUUUUAUAUUUAUUUUUCUGAAAAAUAAGAUAAAAUAAAUACCAUUAUUUCCGACAAAAGUAUCCUCAGCUAAUCUGAAAAUAUUAUUACUUGAUGGCGGGCCUUCACGUAUAAUACAUUAAUAUUAUAUUAAUUAUAUAAAUAUUAUAUUAUUUUAUUAUAACUAUAUUAAAAUAUUGAUUAAGAAUAUUUAUAUAUGAUAUAUUUAUUAAUAAUUAUUAAUUAUUAAUAAAUAAAUAAUGAAUAUUUAUUAAUCAUCAAGAUAUGUGAUAUAGAAUUUAUCAAAAUCCCAACCAAAUGAACCUUUAGUGUUUUUACCCGCGUCAACAUUCACACAGUUUCCCAAAAAAAGGGGUAAAAAUGCUCCCUUCCCUCCACCUGAGUUUUAGCGGCCGAGGAUUGCACGUGCGAACCCACACGAGCUUUGUAUUCACGUGUUGGCCUCCCAUUCCACAAGGGCCCACUCUGCGAAAUUAUAAGCAUUUUUUUAUUUUAUUUUUUUAGAAUUAAAUUUCUUUUAUAUUUCACAUUGAUUCCACGCUUUUCUCCUUGGUAUCAUAUCGAGGGUUUAAUAUCUGCCAUCUUUCCCCCUUUCUCUUCCAGCGGCUUCGCGGAAAAAAAUAUAUCCCAAAUCCUCCCCCUUUCGUCGGCGAUCGAUCGCCCAAGAAGAAGGCGGCGACUCGGAGCCGAUUCGAUCGAUUCUUCUGUACUUCAGGUUGUUCUCUUCUUGAUUAUUUUUCUUCUGAUUCUUGUGAAAAACAUGAAGAUUGAGGGUUUUUUGGCCCGAUUUGGAGCUGAUUUUGGGGGUUUUAUAGGGUUGGGAGACUGGAAUGGCGGAGAAUUUGGGACGAGAUUGAGGAGAUAAUGGUCGGAAUCCGAGGGGGGCGUCGCGAUUGCAUGGGAGAAGAAUGCCAGAACUGCGUAGCGGGACGCGUCGAGGAGGUCGUGCUCCGCCGGCGGCGGUAGAUAUCCCGGCGAGGAAGCUAAGGGUGCGGGCGGCGAAGAAGCCGGGGCCGGCCGGGGCGGGAGCGGCUGGGAUCGGGCAGCGGGUGAGGACCCGGGCGGAGGCGCGGCGACCGGCCGCAAAGUCGCGGCCAAGGGCGAGGUUGGCGAAGGGGAGGUUGGUUCUGGUGAACGAGGAGGACGGGAAGGGGGAAGAAGAGGAGAGAGUGUCGGAACAGUCGAAGGAGGUGGUGGUUGUUGAAGAGGAGGAGAUAAGAGGAGGAGGCCGAGGGAAGCGAGGAGAGGAAGGGGUAAAGGAGGAGGAGGUCGGGGGGAAGAAGGAUAUGAUGGGGGACGAUAGCGGUGGGUUGAGUGCCAAUCGGGUUGCAGCGCAGGAAGAGGAAGGGAGCACCGCACCUUUCCCGGAAAGGGUAUAUGCCUCCUUUUUUUCUCCUUUUUAUUUCUCUCUUUUAAAAACCAAAAAAUUCUGCUUGUUAAAAGUCAUUAUUGUUCGUGAUGUUUUAGUUCUUGUGAUAGAAUUCAUAGGGUCUGUUUCUAAACUUCUGAAAUCUUAGUCUGAAUUCUCACCGUAGAUGCUAGAAUAUGUAAGGAAUCUGCUUCAAGCCUAUUACUUUGGUUGCACAGUUUUCACUAGUUGAUACAAGUUUGAAUAUUACUUUAUUCGUUGUCCCCCUCCCUUCCUCCCUCCCUCUCUCUCUAUGUAAAUUCGAAGAGUGAUAUGAACUCGUUUCCCCUCUGUGUCAGAUGCACAAGUUCUAGGUUUCUAUCUUCUUCUUCUUCUUCUUCUUCUUCAAUCCUAAUAUCCCAUGUUUUCUUUUACUGUUGGUCAUGGGCUUUUUUACGUAAAAAAACUUAAAUAGAUAAUUGGAUGUACCCUGUUAGACAUAAGCAUAAACACAAUCAUAAAUAAUCUGCAUCUUGUUGACGUAGGAUUGCCUAUAUCGACCAUAGAUUGCUUUGGAAUCCAUCGAAAGCCAUUGCAGAUGACGAGUUCUAUCUGUUCCCUGCACACCUUGGGCAUCUUAAGCCAACUCUAGCAUGUGUUCAUGUUGUAUAAUUUAACAAUUAAACUUCAUCAAUCCUCUGGAGGUACCAAUUCUAACCAUCCUCGACCUACAUGUAGCUAAUGAUAGACCUUGUUUUUUGUACAUUAACCCUAAUUGCUGACGUUCAUGAGCCCCUGCGGCUUCUUCAAAUUUAAGCUAGGUAAGCAUGCUCUAGAUCAACUUAUUGUAAUCUUGUUGUUGUUAGAAUCAUCAUAUAGUUCUUGCAUGUUUCAAAUCAUGCUCUUGUAAUUAUUGUAGUAUAAAUAAUUGUGCUUCUGAUAUGAGAUUUGUGGUUAUAAUUUUUUUUGAGCCUUAUUGUUGGGUUUUGGGUCUGUGCGGUUUUUCUUUCUCCUUGUCACUGUCUUUGGAUGCUUUCCUGUUGAUUUAUUGCUUUGUGAUUUUACUUUCUUUACUUCUUGCACGCAUACACACACUACCCACCCAACCCAACCCAACCCCUGCCCUCCCCCCUAAAA